UUCACGGUUAAGAUUGAUACUUCAUCUUUUUUUUUGAAUGAAUGUAAAUACUAUUCAAACAAAAAAGUUUAUCUUUUUCAAACAUCAUUCAGGCUAAUCUCAACCGUGAUCCGCAAAACCCUAUUACGGCGGUCAAAAUGGUGAAUAUCACCAAAUUCUCAUCAACAAACUAUCUGACUUGGAGUGUGCAAAUCACAUCUCUUCUCAGAGGUUAUGAUUUCGUCAAGUUCAUGGACAAAACUAUCAUUCCUCCUCCUGGGACAAUCAAUGUCAACGAUGUUCUCACUCCAAACCCUGCUCUCAUGGCCUGAUAGCGACAGAACAAUCUUCUAUUCAACGGUCUCAUGGGUGCUAUUGAGACUCCGAUUCAAACACUUAUCGCUACAUCCAGGUCAACUCUUGAGGCUUAGAACACUCUAUCUGCUACAUAUGGCAAACCAACACGGGGGCGAAGAAGUAUGGAGGUUUUUGCGAGGAGAGACUGUUUCAUGAAACUGAACAUGGAGAGAGAUGAAGAUUUUGGUGGAGGAAGGAUCAAGACAGAGGUAGGCACUCUGAGUUUGGGAGUAACCUAAGAAGAUGCAGGGAGUGGAGCGAGGUUUAAGUUUUUGUUGAUGUCAUUGUCGUCACAGGAAACAACUCUGCAGCGGUCGAGAAAUUCACACAACGCCUAAGCAUCCGAUUCUCUCUUAAGGACUUAGGCUCUCUCAGUUAUUUUCUGAGAAUUGAAGCACAUCGCACUGCUGAGGGAUCCUUCUCACGCAACAAAAAAAUACAUCACAGACUUGUUAACUCAUACUAAAAUUCUUGACGCUAAUCCAGUCUUAACUCCGAUGGCCUCCAAUUGUCACUUGCAACUUACUUCUGGUACACCUCUCACUGAUGGUCGUGAGUAUUGUACACUUGUUGAAGCUUGCAUUAUCUUCAUUUUACAAGAUCAUAUGUGGCUUUUUCUGUAAACAAGUUGUCACAAUUUAUGCAUCGUCUGUCGGAUGAACAGUGGCAGGCAGCAAAACGUGUUCUCCGCUAUCUCUCUGAAACUCGCGAUCAAGGCAUCUUUCUUCACAGCAACAACACUCUCAACCUUCAUGCCUUCUCAGACUCCGACUGGUCUGGAAAUCGGGAUGAUUAUACUUCAACAAGAGCGUACAUUGUUUAUCUUGGCUCUCAUCAUGUGGUCUGGUCCUCAAAGUAACAAAAGACUGUUGCUCGUUCUUCAACUGAAGCUGAGUACAGGUCUACAGCUGACACUGCGCUGAAGUGUUCUGGAUGUCGUAUCUUAUGUCUGAAUUGGGAGUCUCUACUGCAUCUCAACCUGUCAAUUUUUUUUGACAAUGUGGGUGCUAUAUAUCUUGCCGCAGACCAUGUUUUUCACUCUCGCAUGAAGCACGUGGCGCUUGACUAUCAUUUUGUUCGUCAAAUGGUUCAGUCACAGUUUCUCAGAGUCAUUAAUAUAUCUUCUAAAGAUCAGCUAGCUGAUGCACUUACUAAACCGCUACCUCGUCUGCGUUUACGACAACUCAAUUCCAAGAUUGGACUCUCAUCCGGUCGCUCAUCUUGCAGAGGCGUAUAGGAGAUAAAUACAGGAGUAUUCUAGUUCCUUUUAUAUAGAAGUAUCUUGUAUAUUGUUAGAGUAGAUGCUCUGUAGAUAAGCUCUAGAGAUCCUACGUGAGCUCUCUUGUAUAUAUAUAUUGUAUUCCUCUCUAUUAUCAAUACAACACAUUACCCAUAUCUCUCUACGUCUUUUUGAGAACAGAUCAGUAACACCUGCGCCGGAAAGAGUCCUUAAGGCAGUUCUUGGAGCCCUCGUAUGGCAGUCUCCUCAAGCUGAGGUACGACAGAACAGGCCUCCUCUUCACAUCUCAGCUCCACUUCUCCUUGCAAUACCACCCGAAACAAAUUACGCAGAGUACACGAGAAGCAACGACAGCGUGUGUGACAGCCAUGGAGGAUGAGCUUAACCAGAUCGGAAGGGCAAAGAGAAAAAGGAGUGUAAUCCAUGUACUUGUAGAGGUCAGGGUAGUUAUGUCAAGCAUAAGCUAUGAGGAUAACUUAGAGUAGAUGAGGAGAUCUUACGACGCGGAGGAGGAGACGAUGGAAGGCUGGAAGCAGUUGAAGUGGAUUUUUUUUUGCUGGUGUUUUGUGAGGUGGCUGAUGGCUGUGUGGAUUGUGUGGAGCUGACAGAGGAGGUGGUCAUGGACAGAAGGGACAAAGGUCGGUGAGGAUUUAGAAUGGAAGAAAUUGGUGGCGGAAGAGAUGAUGUUUGUAGCUACCAUGACUAUUACUAGAAGCAGAUUCAAGCUUUAUGGGCUUGAGCGGAGGAGAUUUGGAGAGUUUAGUGAAGUCACAGAGGAGAGCGAAUUCCAAAAUCCAGCUCCGGUGACCAAGGCAAUUAAUCCAUCAAGAAGGUUCGAAUUGAGACUGAAGUUGAGAGCAGUGAGAUUUUGAAGCUUGAGCGGAGAUAUGGGAUUGUAGUGGAGUCGCUGAGGAGAUCUGAGUUCCGACGAGACUAAUUAUGGCGACUUAGGAAGGUGGUUAUAGAUAUGAAGAUGGUGGAUACUAAGGUGGUUGCUCGAGACGAGGAGUUGGUGGUGGAUACGGUGGAGGCGGAAGACAGUAGAGUGGAGAUGGUGGUUGAUACCGGAGUGGAAGUUAUGAUGGUUAUGGAUACAAAGGCUGUGGAUACGAAAGUGGAGACAGAGGUGGAGACUAUGGUGACGAUAUAUACCGUAAAUGAGGUUGUAUGGUUAUGGAUAUGAAGUUCAUGGUUACGGACUUGGAAACAUCACACCUGUCCAUACAUCCUCUUCCCAAACAUUAGUAUUAGCUAUUCAUGUAGACAUCCAAGACCUUGUCCACAAAAACAUUUUCACAAACAAUCACAGUUACACAACCAUAACCACAUGAACUUGUCCAUAAGAAGACAUCCACCACAAAUUUGUAUAUGAGAGCAUAUUCACGAGUCUUGUCCAUUAACUAUAUAACCAUGAGAAAAUUUGUCCAGAGCGUAGUUAAUUUUUU